GAUGAACGCUGGCGGCGUGCCUAAUACAUGCAAGUCGAGCGAACGGACGAGAAGCUUGCUUCUCUGAUGUUAGCGGCGGACGGGUGAGUAACACGUGGAUAACCCACCUAUAUGACUGGGAUAACUUCGGGAAACCGGAGCUAAUACCGGAUAAUAUUUUGAACCGCAUGGGUCAAAAGUGAAAGACGGUCUUGCUGUCACUUAUCGAUGGAUCCGCGCUGCAUUAGCUAGUUGGUAAGGUAACGGCUUACCAAGGCAACGAUGCAUAGCCGACCUGAGAGGGUGAUCGGCCACACUGGAACUGAGACACGGUCCAGACUCCUACGGGAGGCAGCAGUAGGGAAUCUUCCGCAAUGGGCGAAAGCCUGACGGAGCAACGCCGCGUGAGUGAUGAAGGUCUUCGGAUCGUAAAACUCUGUUAUUAGGGAAGAACAGAUGUGUAAGUAACUGUGCACAUCUUGACGGUACCUAAUCAGAAAGCCACGGCUAACUACGUG
rnacentral:rRNA from 1 species